rnacentral:rRNA from 1 species
GUGGGGAAUAUUGGACAAUGGGCGAAAGCCUGAUCCAGCCAUGCCGCGUGUGUGAAGAAGGUCUUCGGAUUGUAAAGCACUUUAAGUUGGGAGGAAGGGCAGUAAGUUAAUACCUUGCUGUUUUGACGUUACCGACAGAAUAAGCACCGGCUAACUUCGUGCCAGCAGCCGCGGUAAUACGAAGGGUGCAAGCGUUAAUCGGAAUUACUGGGCGUAAAGCGCGCGUAGGUGGUUUUGUAAGUUGGAGGUGACAUCCCCGGGCUCAACCUGGGAACUGCCUCCAAAACUGCAUGGCUAGAGUACGGUAGAGGGUAGUGGAAUUUCCUGUGUAGCGGUGAAAUGCGUAGAUAUAGGAAGGAACACCAGUGGCGAAGGCGACUACCUGGACUGAUACUGACACUGAGGUGCGAAAGCGUGGGGAGCAAACAGGAUUAGAUACCCCAGUAGUCC